UACGUAGGGGGCAAGCGUUGUCCGGAUUUAUUGGGCGUAAAGAGCGUGUAGGCGGCCAUACAGGUCCGUUGUGAAAACUGGAGGCUUAACCUCCAGACGUCGAUGGAAACCGUAUGGCUAGAGUCCGGAAGAGGAGAGUGGAAUUCCUGGUGUAGCGGUGAAAUGCGCAGAUAUCAGGAAGAACACCCGUGGCGAAGGCGGCUCUCUGGGACGGUACUGACACUGAGGAGCGAAAGCGUGGGGAGCGAACAGG
rnacentral:rRNA from 1 species